rnacentral:rRNA from 1 species
CUCGUAGGUGGUUUGUCGCGUUGUUCGUGAAAACCUGAGGCUUAACCUCGGGCGUGCGGGCGAUACGGGCAGACUUGAGUACUGCAGGGGAGACUGGAAUUCCUGGUGUAGCGGUGGAAUGCGCAGAUAUCAGGAGGAACACCGGUGGCGAAGGCGGGUCUCUGGGCAGUAACUGACGCUGAGGAGCGAAAGCGUGGGGAGCGAACA